rnacentral:rRNA from 1 species
AUUGAACGCUGGCGGCAGGCCUAACACAUGCAAGUCGAGCGAGCGGCGGACGGGUGAGUAAUGUCUGGGAAACUGCCUGAUGGAGGGGGAUAACUACUGGAAACGGUAGCUAAUACCGCAUACCAUCAGAUGUGCCCAGGUGGGAUUAGCUAGUAGGUGGGGUAACGGCGCACCAAGGCGACGAUCCCUAGCUGGUCGGAGAGGAUGACCAGCCACACUGGAACUGAGACACGGGCCAGACUCCUACGGGAGGCAGCAGGUGGGAAUAUUGCGCAAUGGGCGCAAGCCUGAUGCAGCCAUGCCGCGUGUGUGAAGAAGGCCUUCGGGUUGUAAAGCACUGUCAGCGGGGAGGCGUUACCCGCAGAGAAAGCACCGGCUAACUCCGUGCCAGCCGCCGCGGUAAUUC